rnacentral:rRNA from 1 species
AACGUAGGAGACAAACGUUAUCCGGAGUUACUGGGCGUAAAGGGCGUGUAGGGGGUAGAGUAAGUCUGGCGUGAAAUUUUUCGGCUUAACCGGGAAAGGUCGUCGGAUACUGCUUAACUAGAGGACGGUAGAGGCGUGUGGAAUUCCGGGUGUAGUGGUGAAAUGCGUAGAGAUCCGGAGGAACACCAGUGGCGAAGGCGACACGCUGGGCCGUACCUGACACUGAUGCGCGACAGCAUGGGGAGCAAACAGG